rnacentral:rRNA from 1 species
GAUGAACGCUGGCGGCGUGCCUAAUACAUGCAAGUCGAGCGAACGGACGAGAAGCUUGCUUCUCUGAUGUUAGCGGCGGACGGGUGAGUAACACGUGGAUAACCUACCUAUCAGACUGGGAUAACUUCGGGAAACCGUAGCUAAUACCGGAUAAUAUUUUGAACCGCAUGGUUCAAAAGUGAAAGACGGUCUUGCUGUCACUUAUAGAUGGAUCCGCGCUGCAUUAGCUAGUUGGUAAGGUAACGGCUUACCAAGGCAACGAUGCAUAGCCGACCUGAGAGGGUGGUCGGCUACACGGGAAGUGAGACAGGGCCCAGACUCCGACGGUAGGCAGCGGUAGGGAAUCUUACGCGAGGGGCGAGAGCGUGACGGAGCAACGUCGCGGGAGUGAUGAAGGUCUUAGGAUGGGAAAACUAUGUUAUUAGGGAAGAACAUAUGUGUAAGUAACCGUGCACAUCUUGACGGUACCGAAUCAGAAAGCCACGGCUAACUACGUG